GACGAACCACACGAACGUUAUUCGGAAUUACUGGGCUUAAAGGGUGCGUAGGCGGCGCGGUAAGUAGGGUGUGAAAUCCCUCGGCUCAACCGAGGAACUGCGCUCUAAACUACCGUGCUUGAGGGAGGUAGAGGUGAGCGGAACUUAGGGUGGGGCGGUGAAAUGCGUUGAUAUCCUAAGGAACACCGGUGGCGAAAGCGGCUCACUGGAUCUCUUCUGACGCUGAGGCACGAAAGCUAGGGUAGCGAACGGG
rnacentral:rRNA from 1 species